GCAGAAAAUCUGGGAUCUGCUGCUGACAGAGCCACCCCCGAGGAGAUGGAGCCUCAGUGCUGGCAAUCAAAGCUGCUGCAACAACUGUUCCCUCUGCUCCACGAAGUUGCCUGGGGCCUGCCAAGGUGCCAGGCACAGAUCCAUCCCUCUGGAGUGCCCCAGCUGAGCAGGAAGAGUGGUGUGGAGGCAGCAGAUUCCUUUGGGAUCGCUGGGAUUUGGCUCAGCCCCGCGUGGCUGUGCCAGCCCAGCUGCACAGAGGCUGCAUCUGCAGGGAUCUCACAUCUGGGAUAACCUGGCUCAGGAAUCAGGCAGGUUGGAUUGUCCUGGCUCUAUUCCUUCCCAGGCACAGCCCUGACUCUUCCUGGCUUUGUGGGGAAGACAUUUCACCUUUCUUUGGGAGCCCUUUCCAUGGAGCCCAGCACAGAUCCAGCCCAUUUUGCCACGGAUCCUUUUUUCUUCCCAAGCUUGCUCCAGCUGUGAGCAGCUGCAGUGCUGGCUCUCAUCCCUCCAGCUGCCCUCCCCAAAGUCACAUCCCCUCACAGAUCCCAUUUCCCACCUGAUUGCCACAUUUAUCACACCUUUUUCUGCCAGAACCACAGGGGC
rnacentral:lncRNA from 1 species